rnacentral:rRNA from 2 species
AGAGUUUGAUCAUGGCUCAGAUUGAACGCUGGCGGCAGGCCUAACACAUGCAAGUCGAGCGGUAGCACAGAGAGCUUGCUCUCGGGUGACGAGCGGCGGACGGGUGAGUAAUGUCUGGGAAACUGCCUGAUGGAGGGGGAUAACUACUGGAAACGGUAGCUAAUACCGCAUAACGUCGCAAGACCAAAGUGGGGGACCUUCGGGCCUCAUGCCAUCAGAUGUGCCCAGAUGGGAUUAGCUAGUAGGUGGGGUAACGGCUCACCUAGGCGACGAUCCCUAGCUGGUCUGAGAGGAUGACCAGCCACACUGGAACUGAGACACGGUCCAGACUCCUACGGGAGGCAGCAGUGGGGAAUAUUGCACAAUGGGCGCAAGCCUGAUGCAGCCAUGCCGCGUGUGUGAAGAAGGCCUUCGGGUUGUAAAGCACUUUCAGCGGGGAGGAAGGCGGUGAGGUUAAUAACCUCAUCGAUUGACGUUACCCGCAGAAGAAGCACCGGCUAACUCCGUGCCAGCAGCCGCGGUAAUACGGAGGGUGCAAGCGUUAAUCGGAAUUACUGGGCGUAAAGCGCACGCAGGCGGUCUGUCAAGUCGGAUGUGAAAUCCCCGGGCUCAACCUGGGAACUGCAUUCGAAACUGGCAGGCUAGAGUCUUGUAGAGGGGGGUAGAAUUCCAGGUGUAGCGGUGAAAUGCGUAGAGAUCUGGAGGAAUACCGGUGGCGAAGGCGGCCCCCUGGACAAAGACUGACGCUCAGGUGCGAAAGCGUGGGGAGCAAACAGGAUUAGAUACCCUGGUAGUCCACGCCGUAAACGAUGUCGAUUUGGAGGUUGUGCCCUUGAGGCGUGGCUUCCGGAGCUAACGCGUUAAAUCGACCGCCUGGGGAGUACGGCCGCAAGGUUAAAACUCAAAUGAAUUGACGGGGGCCCGCACAAGCGGUGGAGCAUGUGGUUUAAUUCGAUGCAACGCGAAGAACCUUACCUGGUCUUGACAUCCACAGAACUUAGCAGAGAUGCUUUGGUGCCUUCGGGAACUGUGAGACAGGUGCUGCAUGGCUGUCGUCAGCUCGUGUUGUGAAAUGUUGGGUUAAGUCCCGCAACGAGCGCAACCCUUAUCCUUUGUUGCCAGCGGUCCGGCCGGGAACUCAAAGGAGACUGCCAGUGAUAAACUGGAGGAAGGUGGGGAUGACGUCAAGUCAUCAUGGCCCUUACGACCAGGGCUACACACGUGCUACAAUGGCAUAUACAAAGAGAAGCGACCUCGCGAGAGCAAGCGGACCUCAUAAAGUAUGUCGUAGUCCGGAUUGGAGUCUGCAACUCGACUCCAUGAAGUCGGAAUCGCUAGUAAUCGUAGAUCAGAAUGCUACGGUGAAUACGUUCCCGGGCCUUGUACACACCGCCCGUCACACCAUGGGAGUGGGUUGCAAAAGAAGUAGGUAGCUUAACCUUCGGGAGGGCGCUUACCACUUUGUGAUUCAUGACUGGGGUGAAGUCGUAACAAGGUAACCGUAGGGGAACCUGCGGUUGGAUCACCU